CUAGAAGGAAUUCCGAUCUAUAUAUAGAAAAUUAUUGACCUGGCUACUGAGGUUGUCAUUUGUCGCUUCUGUAAAAGGAGUAAAAAACGGGGCAUGUAAUAUCAAAAUCGGGAAUACGCUGGCAUUUCAUAAUCUAUCAUGUAUUGUUACGUAGGGACAUUUGUUCUUACGAAACAGCUUAUAAAUGCACAUCUUAUACAGGGGCAGAUCCAGCCAUUUUAAAAAGGGAGCGGGUUCCAACUAUAUGUCCCUAUUCAAAUGCAUUGAUCGGCCGAAAAAGGGAGGUUCCAGCCCCCGGAACCCCCUUCUGGAUCCGCCACUGUUACAACAUUUUGAUGUCUCAUAUAGACUUUCCAGUUCGUUUUUCAUUGUAUACUAGAAAGAUCUCAUUUUUGUCUGAAUUGGUGAACCCUUUUUUAACGAUAAAGAGUAAUAAGGAAAUGAAAAUUGAAUAAGGAAAUAGAAACUGAAUAAAGAAAUAGAAACCCAAUAAGGAAAUGGAAAUCUAAUAUUAUAACAAUGAAAUAAAAACCCAAUAAGGAAAUAGAAACCGAACAAGGAAUGAAAAUCGAAUAAGGAAAAAGUUACCGAAUAAGGAAAUGAAAAUUGAAUUAGGAAAUAGAAACCGAAUUAAGGAAAUGAAAAUUGAAUAAGGAAAUAGACACCAAAUAAGGAAAUAGAAACCGAAUAAGUAAAAAGUUACCGAAUAAGGAAAUGAAAAUCGAAUAAGGAAAAAGAAACCGAAUAAGGAAUGUUAUUACAUUGGUUGCAAUGAAUUACAUUGAUUUCCCAGUUAAAUAAAAACCGAUAAUUUCACAUGUGAAAUAAACGUGGUUAUUUCACUCUCUGACGUCAUACAAUAAGUACCGAUUAUCAGGUUAUCUGCAUGUUGAUAUCGUAAAAUAUCAGCUGCGAGACAUAAUAUGAAGCUUUUUGUCGAGUGAGCGUAGCGAACGAGAUCAACUAGCCUUCAUAUAAUGUCAAGCAGCUGAUAUUUUACAAUAUCAAUAUGCAGAUAAUCUGAUAAUCGAUUUAUCGGGCUAUAUUUGCGUGUUUCGGAAGUGUUUUCUUUGUUUCACCAGCACACAAAAGAUUGACUUGAUAAGUUCGGGUCAAAGUUAUUAACGUCGGUUCAAACAUUAUGACGUCGCUGAUAUGUCAGGGUCAAAGUUAUUAAGGCCGGGUCAACGUAUUUGACGUCACAAAGACAUGAUACGGAAUAAUAUUAUUAAUUUGUAUAUUUUAACAAAUUUGAUUCGUUUAGGGAUAGUCACAUGUUAAACUAUAUUUUCGAAGGUAGAGAGAAAACGGCGGAUAGCAAAAAGCAUAUUGUACGGCAAAAAGCAUAUUGCACGGUUAUUUUUAGAAAAUAUAAAAACCGAUAAACUUUGUGACGUCAUGUAUUGAAUUUCAGGAUAUUGUUAAACGAUCUUAACGUUUUGAAACAGAUGAUAUCUGUGAUCGAUUAUUUGACGGAAAAAAUCUUCAAAUACUUAAGAUGACAAACAAACAAAAAAAAAGCAAUUGAAAUAACAACUAAUAUUUUGUAUUGUUAAGGAGACAAUAUGAUAUCUAUAAAAUUCCAACAAAAUCAAAUGACGAUUUUGAUACAAAUAUGGUCGGAAAUUAAUAAUAUAACAAAUAUAGCCUUUGUAUGAGGUCAAUACAGGAUAUAUCGACCCAAAGAAGUAUAUCGACCUCGGACUACGUUCUCAGUCAAUAUACUUCUUUCAGGUCAAUAUAUCCUUGUAUCGACCUCAUACAAAGGCUAUAUUUGUAUAAUAUUAAGAGCUGAAUAGAGUGAUAUAGACAGUGGGACGACCGAUAAUAGGCGUUGUCAAGACGUCGAUAACGUCGGAUCAAAACAAAUUGUGAAUGCGUAGGAAAAAAAUAUAGUUCCUUACAUUUCUAACAUUAAUUUCUUUAAAAAAAAGCCAUUAGCCAAUGUAAUAAAAAGUAUAACUAAUCACCGUAUUUGAAUAUCAAAAAUAAGACAACUUGUGAACGAACGCCGCUGGAUUAAGGAUUAAACUCGUGCUGCGCACUCGUUUAAUCCAUGCGACGUUCGGUCACGCGUUGUCUUAUUUAUGAUAUACAAAUACGGCGAUUAGUUAUACUAUAAAUAAUCGAAAAAGGAAAAUGAAAACGAAUAAGGAAACGAAAAAAACUUUUUGAGUAAAAAUAUUUUGAGGAAAAAAAUAUUUUGAGGAAAAAAAAAUUGAGGAAAAAAAAAUUUGAGGAAAAAAAAAAAUUUGAGGAAAAAAAAAUUGAAGGAGAAAAAAAAAUCAGUUUUGGACUUGUAAAAUUUUUCAAAAUUUGAAUAUCGAAAAAGGAACUGGAAACUGAAUAAUGAAAUGAAAAUCGAAAAAGGAAAUAGAAACCGAAAAAGAAAAUGAAUAUUGGAAAAGGAAAAAGAAACCGAAUAAGGAAAUGAAAAUUGUAUAAGGAAAUGAAAAUCGAAUAAGGAAACGAAAAUCCAAUAAUAAAAUAAAAACCAAAUAAGAAAUAGAAACCGAAUAAGGAAAUAGAAACCGAAUAAGGAAACAGAAACCGAAAAAAGAAAUGAAUAUUGAAAAAGGAAAAAGAAACCGAAUAAGGAAAAAGAAACCAAAUAAGGAAAAAGAAACCGAAUAAGGAAAUGGAAAUUGAAUAAGGAAAUGAAAAUCCAAUAAGGGAAUAGAAACUGAAUAAGGAACUAGAAACCGAAAAAGGAAAUGGAUAUUGAAAAAGGAAAAAGAAACCGAAUUAGGAAAUGAAAAUCGAAUAAGGAAAUAGAAACCGAAAAAGGAUAUGUAUAUUGGAAAAGGAAAAAGAAACCGAAUAAGGAAAUGAAAAUCGUAUAAGGAAAUGAAAAUCGAAUAAGGAAACGAAAAUCCAUAAUGAAAUAGAAACCAAAUAAGGAAAUAGAAACCGAAUAAGGAAAUAGAAACUGAAUAAGGAAACAGAAACCGAAAAAGGAAAUGAAUAUUGAAAAGGAAAAAGAAACCAAAUAAGGAAAAAGAAACUGAAUAAGGAAAAAGAAACCGAAUAAGGAAAAAGAAACCGAAUAAGGAAAUGGAAAUUGAAUAAGGAAAUGAAAAUCCAAUAAGGAAAUAGAAACCGAAUAAGGAUCUAGAAACCGAAAAAGGAAAUGAAUAUUGAAAAAGGAAAAAGAAACCAUUAGGAAAUGAAAAUCGAAUAAGGAAGAAUAAGGAAAUGGAAAUUGAAUAAGGAAAUGAAAAUCCAAUAAGGAAAUAGAAACUGAAUAAGGAACUAGAAACCGAAAAAGGAAAUGAAUAUUGAAAAAGGAAAAAGAAACCGAAUUAGGAAAUGAAAAUCGAAUAAGGAAAUGGAAAUCGAAUAAGGAAAUGAAAAUCCAAUAAGGAAAUAGAAACUGAAUAAGGAAAUAGAAACCGAAUAAGGAAAUGAAUAUUGAAAAAAUAAAAAAGAAACCGAAUAAGGAAAUGAAAAUUGAAUAAGGAAAUGGAAAUCGAAUAAGGAAAUGAAAAUCCAAUAAGGAAAUAGAAACCGAAUAAGGAAAUAGAAACCGAAAAAGGAAAUGAAUAUUGAAAAAGGAAGAAGAAACCGAAUAGGGAAAAGAAAAUCGAAUAAGGAAAUGAAAAUCGAAUAAGGAAAUGGAAAUCGAAUAAGGAUGAUAAUCGAAAAAGGAAAAAGAAAACGAAUAAGGAAAUGAAAAAAUACUUUUUGAAGAAAAAUAUUUUGAGGAAAAAAAAAUUUGAGGAAAAAAAAAUGAG
rnacentral:lncRNA from 1 species